rnacentral:rRNA from 1 species
AGAGUUUGAUUCUGGCUCAGGAUGAACGCUAGCGACAGGCUAACACAUGCAAGUCGAGGGGCAGCACGGGAGUAGCAAUACUUGGUGGCGACCGGCGCACGGGUGAGUAACGCGUAUGCAACCUACCUAUCAGAGGGGAAUAACCCGGCGAAAGUCGGACUAAUACCGCAUAAAACAGGGGCACCGCAUGGUGAUAUUUGUUAAAGAAAUUCGCUGAUAGAUGGGCAUGCGUUCCAUUAGGUAGUUGGUGAGGUAACGGCUCACCAAGCCGACGAUGGAUAGGGGAACUGAGAGGUUGGUCCCCCACACUGGUACUGAGACACGGACCAGACUCCUACGGGAGGCAGCAGUGAGGAAUAUUGGUCAAUGGGCGGGAGCCUGAACCAGCCAAGUCGCCGUGAAGGAAGAAGGAUCUAUGGUUCGUAAACUUCUUUUGCAGGGGAAUAAAGUGCAGGACGUGUCCUGUUUUGUAUGUACCCUGAGAAUAAGGAUCGGCUAACUCCGUGCCAGCCGCCGC